rnacentral:lncRNA from 1 species
GGUGAAAACAUAAACAGGAAAAAAGGGCCCUCACUAAGAACCUGACCAUGCUGGCACUAUGAUUACAGACUUCCACCCUCCAGAACUGUGAGAAACACGUUUGUUAAGCCACAAAAUAUUUAUUGUGGCAAUUCUUUGAAUACAGGAUUUCGCCAUGACCUCCUGACCUCGAACUCCUGACCUCGGUGAUCCUCAGGCCUUGGCCUCCCAAAGUGCUGGGAUUGCAGGUGUGGGCCACCGCACCCAGUCUAGCCAUUUUUCUUAUACAGUGAGUUUUUAACAAAAUUAUAUGGGAGAGUGCACAGGCAAGGUAAUCUAUCCAUGAUUGUCCAUAGCCUGACUUCACUCUUCCUCUUCAUGCUAAAUCAGAAAUAUAAAAAUACUCAUAUUGAAGCUGUGAAGAAUAAAAAAAUUCCUCUCACUAACAUGAGAGGAAGAGUGUUCCAAAAUUGUCUAGGAGCAAACAGAAGGUCUUAAUAGAAC